rnacentral:rRNA from 1 species
AUGAAGGUCGGGGCUGUGCAUCAGCCAUGGAUGGGCGGCCUUGGCGAAGGGCGCAGGGAGGAGAGGAGGCUCCAGCGGAGUAGGCAGGACGGCGGCGACAACCGUGGGGGCUCCUGCUCCUGUUGGGCAACGAAGACAGGCGCAACGCACCUGGCAGAGGCGGAGACGCGGCGCUCCGGGUCGCCGGUACGAGGGGAGAAGGGCGACGGGCGUGCGGCUCCAGGCGAAGCUCAGGCUCCCGGCGAGAAAGACGAACGGGGAGCAGGAGAUCCGGGUGCGGGUCCAGCGGGGCCGCUUGAGGAGGAGUGGAUGAGGGAGACUGCGGUGUCUAUCGGGAGGAUGAGAGGGAGAAGGGGUUGGCCGAAGGUGGCGCUCGGGAGGAGGACGAGGGGGAUCGAGGAGAGGGACGACGGGUGCUCUGUCCCUGGCGGCGAGAGAGGGAAACGGGGAAGGGAGCGAGAUCGAGAGGAGAGGGAGGCUGCGGCUGGGCCUCGGGCCAUCUAG